UAAUUUGAAUUGACCUUGGAAUCGUGGUGUCCACUCAGCCCGCACCUAUCCCGCUUCACCUCUCUCUCUUUCCCUCUCUUUCUAGCAACUCAAAGGACAAAAGGAAGACGACGACAGAAGCACCAAAGAAACUGCAGGAAAAGAGAAGAGAAGAAAAGGCCAGUCAAAAACCACGCACACAUUGCAGACAUGGCCCUCCCGGUGGCAUUUACACUUCUCCACGUAGGCUUAAUCCCCCUUGAGGCGCCAGGGAAAAGGACCUCUCUGUAAACGGGGAUCAAGGUCCACUCCUUGCCAAGAGAAAUGCUUUCUGGGCCCAUUCCGCACCUGCGGCUGAGUGACCGCCCUUUAAGAAGGGUUGAGGUCUCUGUGCAUUUCAGCUCUUUAGGACCGCGCCUUUAACAUGCCCUGUGCCACUGACCUCUCCCUGUAAGAAGGGUGCGGGUCUCCCCUUUCGAGCUUGUCUUGGGCCGCUGGCACUGCCUGGGCAAAGAGACCGCCCUCUACUGAGGGAACGGAGGUCUCUCCUCUUCAGCGCUCUUGGCUCUGGCCCAUUGAAAUGUCCCUGGCUUAAGGACCACCCUGUAAGGAGAGUUUGGGUCUCCUUCGCCAUGCUUAGUUAGCCACAGGUCACUUUGACACGCCGAGCAAAAGGACUGCCCUGUAACCGGGGUGUAAGGUCUUAUCCCUCUCCUUCGUAAACUAGGAGAGCCUCUUUCUGCCUGUGGCUGAGUGACCCCCCUUUAAGAAGGGUUGAGGUUCUCGUUCUGUUAGUCGCAGUAAAUUCCCCUAGAAUGAUUUCUAUUUGGCUUUUUUGGGCUUUGACGUGAAAUCUGGUUUGUGACCCAUGUAUUUCUUCUCCGGGUCACAUGUAACCUGGUGUGGCGAAGGGGCGGCUGUAAGGGGAUGGUGGAGGCCGUGGAAAAUUCGACCCUUCUUUCCCAGAGAGCCAAGAAAUCGUCCCAAAAUCCAUAUGUCACAAAGUCUGGAACUGAACAGGUGAGGAAGGGGGCUCCUUUCAGAGCCUCACUUCCAGGCGAUCCUUCCUCAUUUCCUCUUGCCCUGCCCAAUUUACACUGCCCAGUCAACCUCAGCUUUGAGCCCUUGUUUUAUUCGGCACAAGACAUUGCUGGAUGGAUUAGUGUGAAUCGUAGAGAGUCGGAGAGCUCUGUAAGUUGCGUCCGAAUUCCAGGCCUUUUGUUUCUUUGGUGAUAGACCGAGGCUAUUCCUAGGCCUAUGUUUGAAGUGAGGGAUGUGGCUGUCCUUUCGGAAAUGUGGUGAUGCUCAGCUGGUGUAGGUACGUGGAGUGGUAUUCAGAGCUGGCACGUGGGUGCACCUAACCCUAUUAACAGGACUGUGUCCAAGUAAGGGGUGUCCUUUUUGGUCAAGGUUAGGGGGCACAAAGUUGAAAUUUUCUUGGUGGGGUAGAAAGGUAAGUCGGGAAGGGUGUUGCCGAGGGAUGGAGGAUUUAAUGGUAAUGGGAGACUGAGCGGGAUUCCUCCCUCCCACCUGUUCAUUUCCAGAUGUUUUCACAUUGGGGACUUCCCCCCACCUCACCCCCCGCGCUUCUUGAAAGGAGGAAUAUUUUUCUAAAGAAAGGGUGACCGCCCUGUACUCAGGGAUCAGGUCUCUUUCCCGUUUCUCCUCUCUGCAUUGGCCCUCUGAAUGCCAAAGUCACUUGCUGGGCAAAGAGACCCCCCUCUACCGAGGGAAUGGAGGUCUCUCCUUGUCCGCCCGCUUGGCUACGGCCCUCUGUGAUGCCCCUGGCUUAAGGACCACCCUGUAAGGAGGGUUUGGGUCUCCUUCGCCAUGCUUAUGUAGCCACAGGUCACUUUGACACGCCGGGCAAAAGGACUGCCCUGUAACCAGGGUGUAAGGUCUUAUCCCUCUCAUUCUUAAACUAGGAGAGCCUUUUUUCUUGCCUGUGGCUGAGUGACCCCCCCUCUAAGAAGGGUCGAGGUCUCUCUGGCUCUCUAUUAUUUAGGACCCAGGCUUUACAAUGCCCUGUGCCAUUGACCUCUCCCUGUAAAGAGGGUGCAGGUCUCCCCUUUCGAGCUUGUCUUGGGCCGCUGGCACUUGCUGGGCAAAGAGACCACCCUCUACUGAGGGAACGGAGGUCUCUCCUCUUCAGCGCUCUUGGCUCUGGCCCAUUGAAAUGUCCCUGGCUUAAGGACCACCCUGUAAGGAGGGUUUGGGUCUCCUUCGCCAUGCUUAGUUAGCCACAGGUCACUUUGACACGCCGGCAAAAGGACUGCCCUGUAACCAGGGUGUAAGGUCUUAUCCCUCUCCUUCGUAAACUAGGAGAGCCCCUUUGUGCCUGUGGCUGAGUGACCCCCCUUUAAGAAGGGCUGAGGUUCUCCUUCUGCUGGUCACAGUAAAUUGCACUCGAAUGAUUUCUACUUGGCUUUUCUGGGUUCUGAAGUGAAAUCUGAUUUGUGUCCUAUGUAUUUCCCGUCCGGGUCACAUGUAACCUGGUGUGGCGAAGGGGCGGCUGUAAGGGGAUGGUGGAGGCCGUGAAAAAUUCAACCCUUUCUUCAAAAAAGCCAAGAAAUCACCAAAGUCCAAAGUGAGCUCCCUCUAACUAGGGUGCAGGUCUUUCCCCAGAUUACACUCCCCUUUGAAAGGUAGUUCUAGAAACCAGCCUCUUGAGAGAGCUAAGGGUUUGCCCUUGUAGCUGUCCUGUGCCCGUGGCCUCCUCACGCUCUCAGCCAAGUCAAAGCCCAGCGUAUUCUGCAUCCAGCCGGCCCUGAGUUCUGCUGCAAGCUCUCCUGCCUUCUGCUACGGAUUGGUGCCGAAACCUAGGAAUUGGGCAACUCAAAGGACAAAAGGAAGACGACGACAGAAGCACCAAAGAAACUGCAG